UACAGAGGUGGCAAGCGUUGUUCGGAAUUACUGGGCGUAAAGGGCGCGUAGGCGGUUCGUUAAGUCAGAUGUGAAAGCCCCCGGCUCAACCGGGGAAGUGCAUCUGAAACUGGCGAGCUAGAGUACGAAAGAGGGUCGCGGAAUUCCAGGUGUAGCGGUGAAAUGCGUAGAUAUCUGGAGGAACACCGGUGGCGAAGGCGGCAUCCUGGACCAAUAUUGACGCUGAGGAGCGAAAGCCAGGGGAGCAAACGGG
rnacentral:rRNA from 1 species